rnacentral:tRNA from 2 species
GCACCCGUGGCGGAAUUGGCAGACGCGCACGGUUCAGGUCCGUGUGAAAGCAAUUUCAUAGGAGUUCAAGUCUCCUCGGGUGCACCA